AUGUUCGUGUCAGCCACAUAUGUACUAAAAUUGGAAUGAUGCAAAGAAGAUUAGCAUGGCCCUUAUAUAAGGAUGAUUUGCAAAUUCAUGAAAAUUCCAUAUUGUUA
ensembl:snRNA U6 U6 spliceosomal RNA